AAAACAAUUCUGACACUUUUGUUCUUCUGUUUCUAGAAAACAAAGAAUAACAGAAACAAAUUCAAACUGAGCUGGAAAAAAAAAUUUGGAGAGUGAUCAUUAAAGUCAAGAAUUCAUCUAUGUACUUUGAAAUUCUAGGAAUUUGUGACCUCAUUGUUCUUAUGAUGUGUUUCCUACUCCUCAGUUUAAUAGUGGUUUUAUCAUGGCAAAGUGCCAUUCAAUGAGAGAGAGAGACCUUUUCUAGAGAAUAUGAAGCAAACUCAUAAGAAAUUGUAUGCAGAAUCUAAGACUAAGAUGACAGGUCCACAAAAGAGAGAAUUCCAAGAGCCAGAAGAAGAACAAUAUGUUUCUAACACCUCAUUUGAGAGCAGCAGAUGGUCAUUAAAAGGAGUAAUAUUUUCUCAAGAGGUCAUUGUUGUGGAUCUUGGGAAAGAUUAUCCUGGAUCUCAGUAUUGUACCAGAGAACAUAAAGAGAGGAAAUGAAAUACCUAAAAAUAGGGAGAGGGGAAGAAAUUGGACUGUGUGUUGGCAAUACAAUGGCUGUGGACAUGAGGAAUCACUGCGAAUCAAUAAAAUCAGAAUUAAUGCUUU